CUCAAAACUUGCUAUUUUAGAAUGCUCUAACCUUUAGAAGCUGACCUACUUAGAGAUGCUUGACAAACCAAUCUAGCCCUAAAGUUCUACAAGUCGAAUUCAAAUCGAGUUGGAUUGACUAUCUUGUUAAUUAUCUUCAGGAUAGAAAACUUUCUGAGGAUAGAAGGAAAGCUCGAAGAGUCAAAAAUCAAGCUACACACUAUGUUUUCCUAGAAAGAAAGCUCUACAAGAGGUCAUUCACUUUACCUCCCCCCCUCCUUCUCCAAUGCCUUCAACCUAAGGUGGAAUACACACGUCAAGAAGUCCAUGAAGGGAUAUACAGAAAUCAUCUAAGGGGUAGAGCCUUAUUUUACAAGAUCCUGUGAUAAGACUACUAUUGUUUGAACAUCCAGAAGAAUAUAAUUGACUUUUUUGAAGAAGUAUGACUGAUGCUAAAGAUGCAUGAACAUCCAGUGUCAACUGAUUGCCCUGC
rnacentral:lncRNA from 1 species